AGCAAACCUCACCUGUUCCUCAUGAUCUAAAACAGUUUUCUCCCAGGGGUGGUUUUCCCUGAUCCUCCAGGGAAAAGGAAGCUCUCUGCAGUGUUUCCUGGAGUCCCCGGCAGGCCGGGACCUCCGCUGCCACAUUCAUCACACUAGACUGAAGUUAAUUUAAUUGCCAGUCCUUCCACUGGAGUACAGAGACCUUGACACAGGGACUGUCUAAUUUAUUUGGGGUAGGGGGGUGAGGAUGUCUAAUUAUUGUCUGACUCCCCAACACCUAGCACAAUAUACCAAGCACAUAGUAGGCAUCCAGCAGCUAUUUAGAAAAAUUAAUCCUUUAUCUGGGCACAGUGGCACACGCCUGUAAUCCCAGUGGCUCUGGAGUCUGAAACAGAAAGAUCGUGAGUUCAAAGCCAGCCUCAGCAAUGGCAAGGUGCUUAGCAACUCAGUGAGAGUUACAAAAUAAGGCUGGGGAUCUGGCUCAGUGGUUGAGUGCCCCUGAGUUCAAUCUCCAGUACCAUAAUUAAAAAAAAGAAAGAAAGAAAAUUAAUCCUUUCAUUUUUUUGUAUGACAUGACAUGAAAACUAGCCAGACCAGUUAACCAGAUCAUCCAAGUGACUUAAGGCAAGUCCCAUUGAGUUGCAUAGCUCAAUGGGACAAAUAAGAAUUAGACACCGGGCUUUUAAAGUCCACUGGUCAGAUAUUUACAUUUACGUUGUCAUCAUUGGGGCUGGUUUUCCUUCCCCCUCGCAGUAUGGNUCCUCCCUGUGACCCAGACAACAAAGUGACCAAGAAAAGAGGAAAGAGGGGGAGCACCCUCCCACACAUGCCUGUCUGCUUCGAGCCUUUAUAUAAUAUCAGUUAGAUGGGAAACCAGGGGUAACAGCAGUAGCAGGUGGGAGGAAAGGGAGCCCAUGUUCCGCCCUCUGUCUGAAGAUUCCUGGUGGGAAAAAAUAGAGAAGUCUCCAUUCUCAGGUUCAUAGGAAGACAUGGGACUGGGGCCUGAGCCUGUUCCAUGAAGAGUCCGGGCAAGUGGUAGAGAGGGCUAAUUGUAUCUUGGUGUACUUCCCCAAGGGAAGAGUGGGCAGACUACAAAGCAUUGGUUAAGCUAGACUGAGCUUGGUGAUUGGGCACUGUGUGUGUGUGUGUGUGUGUGUAAGCACACGUGCAUGUGUGUUCUCCCCACUAUCCAUAUCUCCAGCUGGGUCUGGGAACUGAGCUCUAAAGCUCAGGGUGUGGCCUCUCCUGCAUCUGCAGAUGCAGCAGACACAAGGGCAUCGCAGUUGCUGAGUGACAGAAGGGCUCCUCCAGAUUCCGAUUCAUUCCACCCGGCUUCAGGCCUCAGGGUUGGAAGGAAGCUCCAGUUUGGGAACCUGACCUCUAAC
rnacentral:lncRNA from 1 species